rnacentral:misc_RNA from 1 species
AAGUCGUAACAAGGUAACCGUAGGUGAACCUGCGGUUGGAUCAUUAACAAAUUGAUCAGGGCAAAAGGCUUCAUGGCCUUGCCCGCGUUUCUCUCGCGAAAGCGAGUCCGAAACACACACCCAAUUGUGAACCGUUUUCUGUCUCUGGCGGUGGGGUUCGGCGAGGAAAGUUCUUUUUGACUUUGUUCUCGAACCUGUCAGCAACGAUCGCACGAGCCUUUUUUUGAAAGGCCCACCGUGAGCGCUGCCGUGGACAAGCCGCCAACCGUUUCUUCAAUAACGCUUUGUCUGAUUAUGUUUGUCUUACCUGUUUUCUUUGUAUGAAUGUACAAAAAACAACUUUUGGCAACGGAUCUCUUGGCUCUC